UACGUAGGGUGCAAGCGUUGUCCGGAAUUAUUGGGCGUAAAGAGCUCGUAGGCGGUUUGUUGCGUCGGCUGUGAAAUCCCGAGGCUCAACCUCGGGUCUGCAGUCGAUACGAGCAAACUAGAGUGUUGCAGGGGAGACUGGAAUUCCUGGUGUAGCGGCGAAAUGCGUAGAUAUCUGGAGGAACACCGGUGGCGAAGGCGGCAUCCUGGACCGGUAUUGACGCUGAGGCGCGAAAGCCAGGGGAGCAAACGGG
rnacentral:rRNA from 1 species